AUGCGAUACGUAAUGUGAAUUGCAGAUUUCAGUGAAUCAUCGAAUCUUUGAACGCACAUUGCGCCCGCCAGUAUUCUGGCGGGCAUGCCUGUUCGAGCGUCAUUUCAACCAUCAAGCGCCUCGCUUGUGUUGGGGCCCUGCGGCUGCCGCAGGCUCCUAAAUCCAGUGGCGGGCUCGUCGUCGUACCGAGUGCAGUAAACAUCCUCGCUCAGGGAACCCGACGGGUGCCGGCCGUGAAACCCCCCCUUAUCAAGGUUGACCUCGGAUCAGGUAGGAAUACCCGCUGAACUUAA
rnacentral:misc_RNA from 1 species